CGUUCUUUUCUUUGCGUGGCGACCGGCGCACGGGUGAGUAACACGUAUCCAACCUGCCCUUUACUCGGGGAUAGCCUUUCGAAAGAAAGAUUAAUACCCGAUAGUAUAAUGAUUCCGCAUGGUUUCAUUAUUAAAGGAUUCCGGUAAAGGAUGGGGAUGCGUUCCAUUAGGUUGUUGGUGAGGUAACGGCUCACCAAGCCUUCGAUGGAUAGGGGUUCUGAGAGGAAGGUCCCCCACAUUGGAACUGAGACACGGUCCAA
rnacentral:rRNA from 1 species